UACAGAGGGGGCAAGCGUUGUUCGGAAUUACUGGGCGUAAAGGGCGCGUAGGCGGCCUUCUAAGUCGAACGUGAAAUCCCCGGGCUCAACCCGGGAACUGCGUCCGAUACUGGAAGGCUUGAAUCCGGGAGAGGGAUGCGGAAUUCCAGGUGUAGCGGUGAAAUGCGUAGAUAUCAAGUGGAACACCAGUGGCGAAGGCGAAUCCCUGGACAACUUCUGACGCUGAGGCACGAAAGCUAGGGGAGCAAACAGG
rnacentral:rRNA from 1 species